rnacentral:tRNA from 1 species
GCGGGCGUAGCCAAGUGGUAAGGCAAUGGAUUGUGACUCCAUUAUUCGCGGGUUCAAUUCCCGUCGUUCGCC